CCGUAACUAUAACGGUCCUAAGGUAGCGAAAUUCCUUGUCGGGUAAGUUCCGACCCGCACGAAAGGCGUAAUGAUUUGGGCACUGUCUCGACAAUGCACCCGGUGAAAUUGAAAUACCAGUGAAGAUGCUGGUUACCUGCGCCAGGACGGAAAGACCCCAUGGAGCUUUACUCCAGCUUGAUACUGGGAUUCGAUAUUGCAUGUACAGGAUAGGUGGGAGACUGAGAACUGAUGACGCCAGUUGUCAGGGAGUCACUGUUGGGAUACCACCCUUGUAGUAUUGGAUUUCUAACCAGCAGCCGUGAACCGGCUGGGGGACAAUGUCAGGUGGGGAGUUUGACUGGGGCGGUCGCCUCCGAAAGGGUAUCGGAGGCGCUCAAAGGUUCCCUCAGAAUGGUUGGAAACCAUUCGAAGAGUGCAAAGGCAGAAGGGAGCUUGACUGCGACACCGACGGGUGGAGCAGGUACGAAAGUAGGACUUAGUGAUCCGGUGGUAUAAAGUGGGAUUGCCAUCGCUCAACGGAUAAAAGCUACCCUGGGGAUAACAGGCUUAUCACUCCCAAGAGUUCACAUCGACGGAGUGGUUUGGCACCUCGAUGUCGGCUCAUCGCAUCCUGGGGCUGUAGUAGGUCCCAAGGGUUGGGCUGUUCGCCCAUUAAAGCGGUACGCGAGCUGGGUUCAGAACGUCGUGAGACAGUUCGGUCCCUAUCCGGCGUGGGCGUAGGAUAUCUGAGAGGAGCUGUCCUUAGUACGAGAGGACCGGGAUGGACUGACCUCUGGUGUACCGGUUGCACUGCCAAGUGCAUGGCCGGGUAGCCAAGUCGGGACGGGAUAAACGCUGAAGGCAUCUAAGCGUGAAGCCCCCCUCAAGAUGAGAUAUCCCAUAACGUCAAGUUAGUAAGACCCCUUGAAGACGACGAGGUAGAUAGGGCAGAGGUGGAAGUGCGGUAACGCAUGGAGCUGACUGUUACUAAUAGGUCGAGGGCAUAACCAA
rnacentral:rRNA from 1 species